rnacentral:rRNA from 1 species
CCUACGGGUGGCAGCAGUGGGGAAUAUUGGACAAUGGGCGAAAGCCUGAUCCAGCCAUGCCGCGUGUGUGAAGAAGGCCUUCGGGUUGUAAAGCACUUUCAGUGGAGAAGAAAGCCUUGGGGCUAAUACCCUCGAGGAAGGACAUCACCCACAGAAGAAGCACCGGCUAACUCCGUGCCAGCAGCCGCGGUAAUACGGAGGGUGCGAGCGUUAAUCGGAAUUACUGGGCGUAAAGCGCGCGUAGGCGGUCUGAUAAGCCGGUUGUGAAAGCCCCGGGCUCAACCUGGGAACGGCAUCCGGAACUGUCAGGCUAGAGUGCAGGAGAGGAAGGUAGAAUUCCCGGUGUAGCGGUGAAAUGCGUAGAGAUCGGGAGGAAUACCAGUGGCGAAGGCGGCCUUCUGGACUGACACUGACGCUGAGGUGCGAAAGCGUGGGUAGCAAACAGGAUUAGAUACCCUUGUAGUC